GAUGAACGCUGGCGGCGUGCCUAAUACAUGCAAGUCGAGCGAACGGACGAUAAGCUUGCUGCUCUGAUGUUAGCGGCGGGCGGGUGAGUAACACGUGUAUAACCUACCUAUAAGACUGGGAUAACUUCGGGAAACCGGAGCUAAUACCGUAGAAUAUUUUGAACCGCAUGGUGGAAAAGUGAAAGACGGUCUUGCUGUCACGUAUAGAUGGAUCCGCGCUUGAUUAGCUAGUUGGUAGGUUAACAGCUUACCAAGGCAACGAUGCCUAGCCGAGCGGAGGGGGUGUACCGCCACACUGGAGCUGAGACACCGUCCUGGCUCCUACGGGCGGCAGAAGUAGCGACUCUUCCGCACUGGGCGAAAGCCUGACGGAGCAACGCCGCGUGGGUGAUGAAGGUCUGCGGAUCGUAAGACUCUGUUCGUAGGGAAGACCGUAUGUGUCAGUAACUGUGCAUAACUGGACGGUACCUAAUCAGAAAGACACGCCUAACUCCGU
rnacentral:rRNA from 1 species